AAGAGGUUCCAUGCUGACAGCAUCUGGGGAAACCUCGCUGGGCCUCGGAGGUCCUUCCUAUGGGUGAUAUGCCACCCACCCUGGGUCGAGAGUCAGAGAAGCGCGGCCGGUCCCACUGCUGGCUUCGCCUGCCUGUUUCCCACAGCUUCCCUCUAGUCAUCCACCUACACCUGCUGCCCAGUUCCCUAGAAACCUGCCUAGUGUAAAAGGAAGCAACUCUGGAGAACAGAAUGAGAAAUCAGAAAGCAAGGCCCUGUCCUCUGAGUUCUGUCCUGGAUGGGGACUGAGGAAGACAUCUUUUUUUGUGGUGAGAACACCUAAAAUCUACUCUCUUGGCAAGUUUCAAGAAUACGAUUGUCCUUUUCAGAAUUAUAUACACAAAUAUGUAAACAUGGAGUAAAUUCUGG
rnacentral:lncRNA from 1 species